UACGGAGGGAGCUAGCGUUGUUCGGAAUUACUGGGCGUAAAGGGCGCGUAGGCGGCCCGUCAAGUCCCGUGUGAAAGCCCCCGGCUCAACCGGGGAACUGCACGGGAAACUAGCAGGCUUGAGUUCGGGAGAGGGAAGCGGAAUUUCGGGUGUAGCGGUGAAAUGCGCAGAUAUCCGAAGGAACACCGGUGGCGAAGGCGGCUUCCUGGACCGACACUGACGCUGAGGCGCGAAAGCUAGGGGAGCAAACGGG
rnacentral:rRNA from 1 species